AGACCUGUCUUCCGCCGAGGCGGCGCCCGCCCUGGAGUGGAGCGCGGUGGAGGACGACGGGGGCGCGUCCGGGUCCGAGGACUCCCAGGGCUUCCUGGACUGGCCCAGAGCGCCGCAGCAGACGACGCUGGUGCUGGUGGUGUGCGUGCUCUUCCUGUUCCUGGUGUUAACGGGGAUGCCCAUGGCGCUUUUCCUAUGAGCCCGCGAGGCCGCCUCGAGGACGCCGCGUGUCCCGCGGGGGACGGGCCUGGCUAGCUGCGGGCGAGGGCGCUGAGGCUGACCACGUGCCGCCAUCCCCCGUUGGGGUCCCCUUGCUGUGUCUAACCUUGUGGCGAGGUCGUACAUCUGCGGGGUGAGCUACCACCACUGUCCACGCCCCCGGGGAGGGUCAGGAACGGGCUCCGCGGCUGCAAGGUGCGUCCUGACCUCAGCGACGUGGACAAAGGUCGCCGGGGGAUGGACGGCCCAGCAGCUGCGCCCCGCCACCGCUGUCCCCAGGCUGUAGGGUAGCGUGCACAGAUACGGAGCCCCGAUUGUCGUUUCAGUGAGUCUCGUCUGUCGCGCCCAGUGUCCUGGCGAGUUUUUCCUUUCAUCUGCUCCGUUGACACUGGGGAACAGCUCUCCGCUGACGCGACCGCGUCCUCCCUUCAGUCAUCACCUACUUUUAUUCAUCCUCAUUUCGUUGCUAGAACGUUCUUCCUUCCAGCGAGCCUUCGUGUUUUGACUUCGUUGUAGGCGUGACGCUCCCCUGUAACCUUCUGACCAGCUCGCGCUGCUCUUUCCAGGACGGCGUCAGGGUUUCUUGGCCCGUUUCCCGCCGGCUUUGCUAUGUUUCCUGUGAACCUAGUGGGGUUUUGUUCUCUCCCGUGUGGCAGUUUUCAGCCGGAUGCCGGCUAUUCUCUCACACAGAAUCCUUCAGUCAUUUCUGCGCACACUGUGCCCUGACACUCCGUGAGUGCCGUGUGCCUCGGCGCUCCCCAGAGCCUUCUGGGAGCUGUGCCCGGGGCCCCCUAGGUGAGUGUCCCCGGACGUCCAAGGCCGGCUUUGUUUCUAGAAUCCCGACUCGGCCUGCUCCACUGCUCCCGUUACUGUGGCCCGCCGUGACCCGCCGUGAGCCCCACGGAGUUGCGGGUCCCGCCAGGAGCCGUCUGUUCGCUUUGCUUUGAGGCGGAAAUGUAGCCUCGCUUUGCCCUAUAUGUGAUUUCACCCCAUAACACCCCAAAUAAAUGGUGAAAAUGCU